UACGUAGGGGACGAGCGUUGUCCGGAAUUACUGGGCGUAAAGGGCGCGCAGGCUGUAGAUCAAGUCAGCUGUGAAAUGUCUGGGCUUAACCCGGGCAUGCGGUUGAAACUGAUGUACUGGAGUGCUGUAGAGGCAAGUGGAAUUCCCAGUGUAGCGGUGAAAUGCGUAGAUAUUGGGAAGAACACCGGUGGCGAAGGUGACUUGCUGGGCAGCAACUGACGCUGAGGCGCGAAAGCCAGGGGAGGCAAACGGGAUUAGA
rnacentral:rRNA from 1 species